rnacentral:sRNA from 1 species
AAAAAUACUUUUGAAUACUCUGAGUACUCAAAACUUCCUUGUGCCUCAGUUCACCACUCUUGUUGUUGAAAGCUUUUUAUUUAUAAUAAAGUUAUUUUGGGGUCCUUUGGAUGGAAACAGAUAAUACAUAGCAAAUACACUCAUGAUUUGCUUUAGCACAUUAGAUAGUAGAAGUAGAAGACAAGAUCCAUUUUUGUCUUUCAGGUGAGCGUGUAGGAGCCUUCACUAUGGUCUGCAAAGAUGCGGAUGAAGCCAAAAGGGUAGAGUCACAGUUGAAGAUCUUGAUCCGUCCCAUGUAUUCCAACCCUCCCCUCAAUGGGGCCCGGAUUGCUGCUGCCAUUCUGAACACCCCAGAUUUGCGAAAACAAUGGCUGCAAGAAGUGAAAGGCAUGGCCGACCGCAUCAUUGGCAUGCGGACUCAACUGGUCUCCAACCUCAAGAAGGAGGGUUCCACCCACAACUGGCAACACAUCACCGACCAAAUUGGCAUGUUCUGUUUCACAGGGCUAAAGCCUGAACAGGUGAGUGAUUCUGAUUUCUCUGCAGCAGACCAACUGAUCAGUCUUUGCAAACCCGAAGGGUUCUUUUUUUUUCUUUUUUCUUUUUUAUUUAAUGUUUUCGGGUUUUUUGUUUUGUUUUGUUUUUGUUUUUGUUUUGAGACGGUCUCGCUCUGAAACCCAGGCUGGAGUGCAGUGGUACAAUCUCAGCUCACUGCAACCUCCACCUCCCAGGGCUUAAGUGAUCCUCCUGCCUCAGCCUCCCGAGCAGCUGGGACUACAAGUGAGUGCCACCACACCUGGCUAAUUUUUGUAUUUUUUGUAGAGACGUAGUUUCGCCAUGUUGCCUGGGCUUGUCUUAAACUCCUGGA